CAACUACUCAGGAGGCUGAGGCAGGAGAAUCGCCUGAGCCCGGGAGGCAGAGGUUGCAGUGAGCCGAGAUCACACCACUGCACUCCAGCGCAUGAGCCACCACGCCUGGCCUCAAGUUAUCUUACGCAGGUCAGGUACUGGUUACGCACGUCCGUGUAAAGAGACCACCAAACAGGCUUUGUGUGAGCAAUAAAGCCUUUUAAUCAUCUGGGUGCAGGCCGACUGAGUCCAAAAAAGGAGUCAGCAAAGGGAGAUGGGGUGGGCCAGUUUUAUAGGAUUUGGGUAGGUAGUGGAAAAUUACAGUUAAAGGGGGUUUUUCUCUUGUGGGCAGGGGCAGGGGUCACCAGGUGCUUGGUGGGGAGCUCCUGAGACUCAGUCCAGGAGAAGGAAUGUCACGAGGUCAGUUGUUCAGUUAGGGUGGAGCAGGAACAAAUCACAAGGGUGGAAUGUCAUCAGUUAAGGCAGGAACUGCCUAUUUUGCUUCUUUUGUGGUUCUUCAGUUGCUUCAGGUCAUCUGGAUGUAUACAUGCAGGUCACAGGGGUUAUGAUGGCUUAGCUUGGGCUUAGAGGCCUGACAGUGCCCUUGUUAAAAUGAGUUAGAACCUACAUAAUCCCAGUAGCAUUGCCUCUUUAAAUGUACAGCAUAUCUAUGAUAUUCAAAAUAAACACAGACAUGGGAUUGAUCUAAAUUUUACUUUACAGGUAAAAGAAAAUUACAAUUCAGCAUGAGAACAUUCUUCAUAAGUUUUACCUAUGGCCCCAAUGAUAAUUAGGCCAACUGUAUCCUGAGUGUAUAUGAAUGUGUGAAUACAUACACAUACUAAUGUAUACAAACCAAUUCACACAACACGACUCUCCAGAGAUGUUGCUUGAAGCACCAGAGAGUAAUUUCUUUAUUUUUAGUUUUGAAGAGACAGGGUCUCACUAGGUUGCCCAGGCUGGUCUUGAACUCCUGGCCUCAAGUGAUCCUUCUGCCUCAGCCUCCCAAAGUGCUGGGUUUACAGGUGGGAGCCACUACACCUGGCCGCCUUUUGUAUUUUUUAAAGCUUGAAGCACAUAUGUGUAUUACUUAUUAAAAAUUUAACAAAGAAUUUUAAAAAGAGAAAGAAAGGCCUUUUAGAGGAUAGGUCAUUUUAGGACUCCCUGGUUCCAAGAUAUAACUCAAUUGUCCUGUAAUGAGAUAGAUACUUCCUGAAUCUAUUGGGGUUUAAGAUUAAAAAAAAAAAAAAAAAAGACGUUCUCUUAUUCAGACCCAUUUAUAUAGUUCUCAUUGCCUUUUCUCAUUAUGCUCCUGAGGCUCAUUUGAAGCUAACACUCAAGCACCAGUGACAUCUGGUAACAUGGGUAACCCUGGGCAACCAGCUUCUCUCAUAGUUGUCAUAGCAACAAUGAUGUUCUGACAGCUGAGUUUUCAUCGUGAAGUAAUUAUCAAGCUUUGGGGAGGGCUCCUCCAUGUUUGCAGUUGUUUACGUCAAUGAGGUUUAUGAAUGAACCUCAAUUAGAUGCAAUUUUGAUUGAAGUGUUAAGAGAGGCUGUGAAUUGAGUCAGAUUUACAUAUCCUUCCACCCAGCCUGGCAAAUCUGGUGAAUUGUAGGCCUGGUGCAAUUCAGAGAGGGGGUGUGACUUGCACUUCAGCCAUCAAAAGCCACUGGAUAUGCGAGGCUUGGUGGCUCAUGCUUGUAAUCCCAGCACUUUGGGAGGCUGAAGUGAUCACCUGAGGUCGGGGGUUCGAGACCAGCCUGGCCAACAUGGCGAAACUCCGUCUCUACUAAAAACACAAAAAAAGGCCAGGCACAGUGGCUCACACCUGUAAUCCCAGCACUUUGGGAGGCCGAGGUGGGCGGAUCACCUAAGCUCAGGAGUUCGAGACCAGCCUGACCAACAUGGUGAAACCCUGUCUCUACUAAAAAUACAAA
rnacentral:lncRNA from 10 species